AGUCUUCUGGGAAAUCUAAUCGCUUAACUAUUAGGCUUCCAGGGGAUACUGUUAGACUUGGGACCGGGAGAGGUAAGAGGUACUGCAGGGGUAGGAGUGAAAUCUUGUAAUCCCUGUGAGACCACCAGUGGCGAAGGCGUCUUACCAGAACGGGUCCGACGGUGAGGGACGAAAGCUGGGGGCACGAACCGGAUUAGAUACCCGGGUAGUCCCAGCUGUAAACGAUGCUCGUUAGGUGUCAGGAACGGUGCGACUGUUUCUGGUGCCGAAGGGAAGCCGUGAAACGAGCCACCUGGGAAGUACGGCCGCAAGGCUGAAACUUAAAGGAAUUGGCGGGAGAGCACUACAACGGGUGGAGCCUGCGGUUUAAUUGGACUCAACGCAGGAAAACUCACCGGGGGCGACAGCAAUAUGUAGGUCAGGUUAAAGGUCUUACCUGAAUCGCUGAGAGGAGGUGCAUGGCCGUCGUCAGUUCGUACUGUGAAGCAUCCUGUUAAGUCAGGCAACGAGCAAGACCCGUGCCCACUGUUACCAGCAUAUCCUUUAUGGAUGAUGGGGACUCUGUGGGGACCGCUGCUGCUAAAGCAGAGGAAGGUGCGGGCUACGGUAGGUCAGUAUGCCCCGAAUCUCCCGGGCUACACGCGGGCUACAAUGGUUGGGACAAUGGGUAUCUACUCCGAAAGGAGUUGGCAAUCUCUUAAACCCAAUCGUAGUUCGAAUUGAGGGCUGAACUCGCCCUCAUGAAGCUGGAAUCCGUAGUAAUCGCGUUUCAACAUAGC
rnacentral:rRNA from 1 species